rnacentral:tRNA from 1 species
GGGGAUUUAGCUCAGUGGCAUAAGCACCUGCCUUGCAAGCACGUGGUUGAAGUUUGAUCCCCA